GGGUGGGUAUCGGGCCUCCGGCUGUAUAGCUGAGGAAAGUCUACCCACCAUUAAAAGGCGACCUUUAUGGAACCAGUAAUGGUUGGCUCCAUCACAGAAACGAACCGUGCAUUGGUAGUAUGAUGCGUGACUCCCGUGGCAACAUGGGCAUACGCGCUGACGUUCCUAUGCGCUUGGAUGAAACGGAUAGCCCUCGCCGGUGCAAGCACCUUUGCGUGCGCUAAGUAGAAUGCCCGAAACGCCUGUCCAGACGGACAAAACCGUCACCAGUGUCUAUCAUUGGUUUGGAGGCGUACAAAAGGUAGCUUAUUCCUGCCC
rnacentral:RNase_P_RNA from 1 species